rnacentral:lncRNA from 1 species
CAGAGGGGCUGUCCUUAACCAAAACCUCUCAGCAUGAGAAAAUCUCAUAAAAGACAGACCCAAAGUGAAGCCUCUGUGGAUUUUGUUGAUAGAACCAGGAAGAAAGGAUCAAAGAAAAAAAGAAAGACAUCUGGAUUCCUCCAGGUCCAAGAUGGGGAGGACCUGGAUGUUCCUACUUGGGCAUUCCUGUGCCUCCUGGCACAGAGGGGUGUCUCCUCAAAGAUCUUGUCCAGAAGAAUAAUUAAUGCCCUGAGGUCAAGUAUGGCACCAAUCUUUCAUCUGUUUUUCCUUCUUCACCUGGUUCAUACACCGAAGAUUGUAUAAUGAGUUGUCAGGAGUUAUGGGCUGUUAAAUAAUGUAGAUGUUUUUCCUGAAUAAAUGUGCCUAGAAAAUUAUGCCAUAAAUGCCUGAGUGUUGUUCUAAUGUUCCGUCUGUCAGUCACCCAGAAGAUUCAGUGGUAAAUGGUUUCCUCUCUGGAGAAAGCGAGACAGAUCAUGCCACCCAGAGAGAGACUGAUAUGCUGAGGAUUUUCAAAUCAG